UACAGAGGUCCCAAGCGUUGUUCGGAUUCACUGGGCGUAAAGGGUGCGCAGGUGGGUUUGCAAGUUCGAUGUGAAAGCCCCGGGCUUAACCCGGGAAUGGCAUUGGAUACUGCAGAUCUGGAGGUUCGGAGGGGGGACUGGAAUUCUUGGUGUAGCAGUGAAAUGCGUAGAUAUCAGGAGGAACACCAGUGGCGAAGGCGGUGCUCUGGGCCGGUACUGACGCUGAGGAGCGAAAGCGUGGGUAGCAAACAGG
rnacentral:rRNA from 1 species